CUUCUCUCAGGAUCGCACCUCGUGAGUUUCCAGUAUUCUACCAGUGUCGGGUAUGGGAGGGAGAGUCAAGCAGAGGCCGACCCAUUCCAUUCCUAGCUUGGGGAGUGGCUAGGGAGGGGAAGGCAAUCUGCUACAAGU